rnacentral:rRNA from 1 species
UCGGUCCUACGGGAGGCAGCAGUGAGGAAUAUUGGUCAAUGGCCGAGAGGCUGAACCAGCCAAGUCGCGUGAGGGAAGAAUGUCCUAAGGAUUGUAAACCUCUUUUGUCGGGGAGCAAAAAGGCUCUGCGGAGUCGUAUUGAGAGUACCCGAAGAAAAAGCAUCGGCUAACUCCGUGCCAGCAGCCGCGGUAAUACGGAGGAUGCGAGCGUUAUCCGGAUUUAUUGGGUUUAAAGGGUGCGCAGGCGGGCUGUUAAGCCGGCGGUAAAAAUUCAGGGCCCAACCCUGUCGAGCCGUCGGAACUGG